rnacentral:lncRNA from 1 species
AUUCCAACAGUCAAAAAUCAUUUAAAGUAAAUUAUUAUAUUAUUCAUAAUAUUUAUUAACAAAUUAUUAAUACGCAUUACAUUUUGGUUUAUAGCAAAAUGAAACCUUACAAAUCGACGCUAGAGAUAUUAAGUAUGCUAAUAAUUAUGCUCCUAAUAAUCAUGAAAAAUCAUACUUGAACAAUCCAGUUGCAUUUAUGAAAAGUGAUGCUAAAUCAGGUAUUUAUAUAUUUAAAUAAAACUUCUAGUUACAUUUAUUCACUUUUCAAUAAUUCUUUUGUUUUUAUUAGAAUAUAAUCAUAAAAGAAAACAUUUAUCGUCUGAAGAUAGUUCAGAUAGUGACAGUAAUAACUGUUUUUCAAACUAUAGUAAACGAUUAAAGGGAGAUAAGUUUGAUGGUGCUUCUUGUUCCAAAUCACUUGAUUCCGAUUCAAAUAUAUCGGAUGACUCACUUUCAAUAACUAAACAAAAUGUAGAAAAUACUGAAAAAAGUGGCAACAAAGGAAUGUCUUUAAUGGUAACUAUUUAAAUGAGAUGGGAAGAUACAGUUAAGAGUAAAGUUGAAGGAUUUGUAGGCUGACCAAACUAGAAGGUUUUGCUAAUGAAUAGAGAUAGAUCGAGAAUUGAUUGUAAGACGGGAUAGUCCUAGUGGCAACAGGCCCCCACCCCCAAAAAAAAUAAAAAUAAAUUUAAAUUGAUUUAUAACUAUUACACUUUUAAUGAGAAAUAACAUAAUUAUACAUAUAUCUUUUUAUUUCUAGAAAAAAAUUGGUUAUAAAGAAGGUGAAGGACUAGGGAAAAAUGCACAAGGAUUGGUUGAUCCAGUACAGUUACCUACUCAAAAAGGUCGUAGAGGUUUGGGUUUUGCAUCACGAGAACCUAGAGAAUCAUUCGUUUUGGAUUGGGAUCCCGAACAAGAAGAAGUAAAUAUAAAUUUUAAAACUGAAGAAAAUAACUUUUUUUUUAAACUUUUAAAAUUAAGUCUACAGACAUUUUAAAAGUUACGGAAUGGUUAGAAAAUGAAAAUCCAUUGAUAUUUUCAUUUGAAGAUAUGAUUGAUUGGAUUCAAACUGGUGAAAAAAAAUUGACUUACAAUCAAACCACUGAGUUUGCAGAUUCAGAAAUUUUCAAAGUAGUUAAUUCUAGCAAGGUAAAUUUUUACACUUUUUAUAAUAGCUUACUUUUUUUUAAUUAUAAUUUAAUUUACUUUUUAUAGAAUGUUUUGGAUAAUAUUAAUGAUCAUGAUUUUCGUCAUGCUAGAGCUAAAGCAAAUCCAUUUGAGACAAUCAAAAAUGGUAUAUUCCAAAACCGAGCUGCAAUGAAAAUGGCCAAUAUCGAUUGGGCAUGCGAUUUUAUGUUCACUGAUCCUAAAUAUAGUGAUGAUGUAUAUAAUAUAUUAUUGAUUGAUAACAUUUAUUUUGUAUUAAUAUUAUUCAAUAUAAUUUUAGUCAUCUAUGUUAUCAAGACCUAGUAGUUUACUUUACUUUGCUGAUAUUUGUGCUGGACCAGGUGGAUUUUCUGAGUAUGUGCUGUGGCGAAAAAGUUGGAAAGCCAAAGGUGUUGGAUUUACAUUACGUAAUGCAAAUGAUUUCAAAUUAAAUGAUUUUUUUGCUGGUUCUCCUGAGUCAUUUGAAGCUUUUUAUGGUAAUUAUUAUAUAACAAUGAAUUUAAU